GAUAGUAUGAUCUUAUAUAUAGAAAAUCUUAAAGACUUCACCAAAUAAAAACCAUUAUAACUGACAAAUUCAGUAAAUUUGCAGAAUACAAAAUCAACAUACAAAAAUCAAUAGCAUUUCAACACUAACAACAAACUAUCUGAACAAGAAAUUAAUAAAACAAUCUCAUUAAAAAUAUCAACAAGCCUAUGUAUGUCUCUGCGUGUGAGAUGGGUCUCCUGAAUACAGCAGACUGAUGGGUCUUGACUCUUUAUCCAGUUUGCCAGUCUGUGUCUCUUAACUGGAGCAUUUAGUCCAUUUACAUUUAAGGUUAAGAUUGUGAUGUGUGAACUUGAUCCUGCCAUUAUGAUAUUAACUGGUUAUUUUGCUCAUUAGUUGAUAUAGUUUCUUCCUAGCCUCGAUGGUCUUUACAUUUUGGCAUGUUUUUGAGAUGGCUGGUACCGGUUGUUCCUUUCCAUGUUGAGUACUUCCUUCAGGGUCUCUUGUAAGGCAGGCCUAGUGGUGACAAAAUCUCUAAGCAUUUGCUUAUCUGUAAAGGAUUUUAUUUCUCCUUCACUUAUGAAACUUAGUUUGGCUGGAUAUGAAAUUCUGGGUUGAAAAUUCUUUUCUUUAAGAAUGUUGAAUAUUGGCCCCCACUCUCUUCUGGCUUGGAGAGUUUCUGCCGAGAGAUCUGCUGUGAGUCUGAUGGGCUUCCCUUUGUGGGUAACCCGACCUUUCUCUCUGGCUGUAGAGUUUCUGCUGAGAGAUCCACUGUUAGUCUGAUGGGCUUCCCUUUGUGGGUAACCCAACCUUUCUCUCUGGCUGCCCUUAACAUUUUUUCCUUCAUUUCAACUUUGGUGAAUCUGACAAUUAUGUGUCUUGGAGUUGCUCUUCUCAAGGAGUAUCUUUGUGGUGUUCUCUGUAUUUCCUGAAUUUGAAUGUUGGCCUGCCUUGCUAGGUUGGGGAAGUUCUCCUGGAUAAUAUCCUAAAGAGUGUUUUUCACCUUGGUUCCAUUCUCUCCGUCACUUUCAGGUACACCAAUCAGACGUAGAUUUGGUCUUUUCACAUAGUGCCAUACUUCUUGGAGGCUUUGUUCAUUUCUUUUGACUCUUUUUUCUCUGAACUUUUCUUCUUGCUUCAUUUCAUUCAUGUGAUUUUCAAUCACUGAUACCCUUCUUGCACUUGAUCAAAUUGGCUACUGAAGCUUGUGCAUGCAUCAUGUAGUUCUCGUGCCAUGGAUUUCAGCUCCAUCAGGUCAUUUAAGGUCUUCUCUACACUGUUUAUUCUAGUUAGCCAUUCAUCUAAUCUUUUUUCAAGGUUUUUAACUUCUUUGCAAUGGGUUCAAACACCCUCCUUUAGCUCGGAGUAGUUUGUUAUUACCGAUCGUCUGAAGCCUUCUUCUCUCAACUUGUCAAAGUCAUUCUCUGUCCAGCUUUGUUCCAUUGCUGGUGAGGAGCUGCGUUC
rnacentral:lncRNA from 1 species